ACUAAUAUACACGGGCUUCUGAGAGGAUGUCCUGUUUAAGCAGCAGCCAAGGCGCCAAGACCCGUUGUUGACAAAUCAGGUCAAAAGCCCAAUAUAACGCAUUUGGAGGGCACGGCGGUACAAGGAGCCAAGCCAUCAGAAUCAGACCCGUAAAGGUCUCGUUUUUGACAAUAAACAUGGGCUUCUGAGAGGAUUCUUUAAUCAACCAAAACCUGCAACAGAGUCCUUAAUUUCGACCACUUACAAGUGGAGAGAUGUUCCAUUCCCAAUGGCAGAAGAAGGAUGCAAGCUUGGACAAGAUAUUCUUCACUUGGUUGGGCAGGAGAU
rnacentral:lncRNA from 1 species